CUCUCGCUCUCUCUCUCUCUCUCUCUCUCAUCUCAGAUGUAUUUUCCCAGGGGUGGGAACCUGUGGGACUGUGCAGGUAACGCCUUUGAUCGAGAAUAAGUUUAAGAGGACUACAACAGUUUGCUGCAACAGUUCUUCUCCAUGCUGGAUGGUUAUUCUUCAGACCUGAAAAUGGUGUUUGACAAGGAAGGCGGCAUUGAAGGACAAAAGAUUAAGAGCAUCAUGGUUCCCAUAACCCAGACUAACUUCAUUGAUGUCAGAAGAGUACAUCCUUUAAGCCCAGUGUGUGUUCCUCAAUGAAGAUCCUGGCAACCUUGUGAAAGAAUGGAUGGUAAGAAUGUUUUUUUUAUUUUUUUUUAUUUUAUGUAAAUUUAAAAUUUGAUAGUGAUUUAUAUAUGCUUUAAAAGUUGAAGUGUUAUAUAACAUCAUCCACUUUUUUAAUUUUACAUUUCAGAUCGUGGACGCCUUGAAGAAGCCAUGAUAGAGACAAUGCUUGAAGUUUUUGUCAUUCACAAAGAUGCAGAGGCAGAUGAUGACCCUGAAGAUGUAGUCCUCGUUUCAAGUCCUGGAUGAGUUGGGUAGUGUCCCACUUGCUGUGUUGUUGUUUUCUCUUGUAUAUGCUCUCAACGUCAGCUACCCUCCACUAAAAGUUGUUUGAAAUAUUGGCCCAAUGCUGUAUGUACAAUACUGGAUGUUAGCGACAUUUUAUAGCUGCCUUUGAGAUUUGAAAGCUGUUUUAUCGUUUUUAUGAAGCUUAUAAACUAUUCUAACCAGUCUAAAUCCAAUGUGCUUUGUGUCUUCUCCAACCUACACACCAGCUGGGGAUAUAUGUUAGUUUGCAUAAUAGAAAUACUGUUUCAAAGAUAACUUUAUUUGUAUGUAACUUUGAAAAGCUAAUCUUGGCACAAAACAUUUGAUAACUUUACAUUGGUUGUGUUAGUAUAGCAUAAUUUAUU
rnacentral:lncRNA from 1 species